rnacentral:rRNA from 1 species
ACAGCAGUCGCCGCGGGAAUACGUAGGGUGCAAGCGUUAAUCGGAAUUACUGGGCGUAAAGCGUGCGCAGGCGGUUUGUUAAGACAGAUGUGAAAUCCCCGGGCUCAACCUGGGAACUGCAUUUGUGACUGGCAAGCUAGAGUCUGGCAGAGGGGGGUGGAAUUCCGCGUGUAGCAGUGAAAUGCGUAGAUAUGCGGAGGAACACCGAUGGCGAAGGCAGCCCCCUGGGCCAACACUGACGCUCAUGCACGAAAGCGUGGGGAGCAAACAGGAUUAGAUACCCCCGUAGUCCCUGUCUCUUAUAC